CAGCCAUCAACACAUUUGUGAAGGAAUUUUUACUCCCCAAAAGAGCGCCCCCCCAUGGCAGGAGAAAAAAGUCCAUUUUUUCUUGUCCCAUAAGGUGAAAAUUCACACUAUUGACUGUCACGCCUGUACGCUUUGUCAAAAUUACACAAAAAUUGACACACACAUGUAUCUCAAUAAGAUCUACAAAAAAGUCAGUGCUGGCGUAUCUGUCAAAUGUACGGUUAAAGGGUUAUUGCGCAUUUUUUGCCGAUCCGCACACAUUGGAAUUUCGCUAACUCCUCCGAAGGCUUUCGUUCCACCGGCACCACAUUUGCUCAGGCCAAUCUACACCCCAUGGCCAUUAAAAGUUAUUCAAAUCAUGACGCUGCACCCCACGGUUUAGGUUCUAGGGGGCGCCAAAGAUAACCCUAAAAUCCACAUAUUUAAAAGUCUUAUAACUUUUUAUUUUUGUCCUCUCUGGCCUCCAAGUUUUCUAGGAUGAUGCAAUGUCCAGCCAUCAACACAUUUGUGAAGGAAUUUUUACUCCCCAAAAGAGCGCCCCCCCAUGGCAGGAGAAAAAAAGUCCAUUUUUUCUUGUCCCAUAAGGUGAAAAUACACAUUGUUGACUGUCUUACCUGUAUGCUUUGUCAUAUUGACACAAAAUUUGACACACACAUGUAUCUCAAUAAGAUCUACGAAAAAGUCAAUGCGCGCGUAUCUGUAAAAUGUACGGUUAAAGGGCUAUUUUGCAUUUUUUGCCGAUUAGCACACAUUGGAAUGUGGCUAACUCCUCCUAAGGCUUUCGUCCCACUGACACCAAAUUUGCUCAGGCCAAUCUACACCCCAUGGCCAUUCAAAGUUGUAAAAAUCA